rnacentral:rRNA from 1 species
UAGGGAAUCUUCGGCAAUGGGGGCAACCCUGACCGAGCAACGCCGCGUGAGUGAAGGAGGUUUUCGGAUCGUAAAGCUCUGUUGUAAGAGAAGAACGUGUGUGAGAGUGGAAAGUCCACACAGUGACGGUAACUUACCAGAAAGGGACGGCUAACUACGUGCCAG